UUUAUGGAGAGUUUGAUCCUGGCUCAGGAUGAACGCUGGCGGCGUGCCUAAUACAUGCAAGUCGAGCGAACGGACGAGAAGCUUGCUUUUCUGAUGUUAGCGGCGGACGGGUGAGUAACACGUGGAUAACCUACCUAUAAGACUGGGAUAACUUCGGGAAACCGGAGCUAAUACCGGAUAAUAUUUUGAACCGCAUGGUUCAAAAGUGAAAGACGGUCUUGCUGUCACUUAUAGAUGGAUCCGCGCUGCAUUAGCUAGUUGGUAAGGUAACGGCUUACCAAGGCAACGAUGCAUAGCCGACCUGAGAGGGUGAUCGGCCACACUGGAACUGAGACACGGUCCAGACUCCUACGGGAGGCAGCAGUAGGGAAUCUUCCGCAAUGGGCGAAAGCCUGACGGAGCAACGCCGCGUGAGUGAUGAAGGUCUUCGGAUCGUAAAACUCUGUUAUUAGGGGAGAACAUAUGUGUAAGUAACUGUGCACAUCUUGACGGUACCUAAUCAGAAAGCCACGGCUAACUACGUGCCAGCAGCCGCGGUAAUACGUAGGUGGCAAGCGUUAUCCGGAAUUAUUGGGCGUAAAGCGCGCGUAGGCGGUUUUUUAAGUCUGAUGUGAAAGCCCACGGCUCAACCGUGGAGGGUCAUUGGAAACUGGAAAACUUGAGUGCAGAAGAGGAAAGUGGAAUUCCAUGUGUAGCGGUGAAAUGCGCAGAGAUAUGGAGGAACACCAGUGGCGAAGGCGACUUUCUGGUCUGUAACUGACGCUGAUGUGCGAAAGCGUGGGGAUCAAACAGGAUUAGAUACCCUGGUAGUCCACGCCGUAAACGAUGAGUGCUAAGUGUUAGGGGGUUUCCGCCCCUUAGUGCUGCAGCUAACGCAUUAAGCACUCCGCCUGGGGAGUACGACCGCAAGGUUGAAACUCAAAGGAAUUGACGGGGACCCGCACAAGCGGUGGAGCAUGUGGUUUAAUUCGAAGCAACGCGAAGAACCUUACCAAAUCUUGACAUCCUUUGACAACUCUAGAGAUAGAGCCUUCCCCUUCGGGGGACAAAGUGACAGGUGGUGCAUGGUUGUCGUCAGCUCGUGUCGUGAGAUGUUGGGUUAAGUCCCGCAACGAGCGCAACCCUUAAGCUUAGUUGCCAUCAUUAAGUUGGGCACUCUAAGUUGACUGCCGGUGACAAACCGGAGGAAGGUGGGGAUGACGUCAAAUCAUCAUGCCCCUUAUGAUUUGGGCUACACACGUGCUACAAUGGACAAUACAAAGGGCAGCGAAACCGCGAGGUCAAGCAAAUCCCAUAAAGUUGUUCUCAGUUCGGAUUGUAGUCUGCAACUCGACUACAUGAAGCUGGAAUCGCUAGUAAUCGUAGAUCAGCAUGCUACGGUGAAUACGUUCCCGGGUCUUGUACACACCGCCCGUCACACCACGAGAGUUUGUAACACCCGAAGCCGGUGGAGUAACCUUUUAGGAGCUAGCCGUCGAAGGUGGGACAAAUGAUUGGGGUGAAGUCGUAACAAGGUAGCCGUAUCGGAAGGUGCGGCUGGAUCACCUCCUUUCU
rnacentral:rRNA from 1 species